AACGAACGCUGGCGGCAUGCCUAACACAUGCAAGUCGAACGAGACCUUCGGGUCUAGUGGCGCACGGGUGCGUAACGCGUGGGAACCUGCCCUUAGGUUCGGAAUAACUCCCCGAAAGGGGUGCUAAUACCGGAUAAUGUCUUCGGACCAAAGAUUUAUCGCCUUUGGAUGGGCCCGCGUUGGAUUAGCUUGUUGGUAGGGUAAAAGCCUACCAAGGCGACGAUCCAUAGCUGGUCUGAGAGGAUGAUCAGCCACACUGGGACUGAGACACGGCCCAGACUCCUACGGGAGGCAGCAGUAGGGAAUAUUGGACAAUGGGCGAAAGCCUGAUCCAGCAAUGCCGCGUGAGUGAUGAAGGCCUUAGGGUUGUAAAGCUCUUUUACCCGGGAUGAUAAUGACAGUACCGGGAGAAUAAGCGCCGGCUAACUCCGUG
rnacentral:rRNA from 1 species